UCGUGCUGAAUCCUCUUUCGUUUCCUCCUGUUUGAAUACUCCUUUACUGGUGAAGAAACCACAGAGCUGAUCUCUUGUCUGUCACUUCAUGUUUCGAUUCCCCUUGCACCAGGGAACCAGAACUUUGGGAAGAUAAACAGAGAAGCAGAGGCUGACCUGAGCAGCAUGAGAGAGGCAGAAAGCGUAGGGCGGAGAAGAGAUUGACAAUGAAGCAGAUUGUCUACCAAAAGAAUGCUUCGAGGCGCUCCGAAAGAGGCAGAGGAGAAGCUUCAGGGACGGAAGACCAAGUUUGGAGGAUUAAACGAGCAGAAGGAGGGGCUUAGUAGGGAGGCUUCAAGAGAAUGAUGGCGACACGGCCAGAAAUCAGGGGAGGGGAAGCAUCAAGGAGCAGAGGGAAAAUAGGGCAUAGACUUUUCUUUUGUUUCUUUCUUUUAUAUUGCUAGAAAUUGAAAGAGUUGGGAAUUCUAGGGAUUUCGGUUUGAAAGAGAGGUUAAGAUAAGAAGAGGGAAGAGGGAAAGCAGCUCGAGAGGUGAGAGGGAGUUUUCAAGAGAAGUUUGUGGGGUUUGACAAAGAGAAAUUUAGAGGGCAGAGCGCGAAAAGAGAAGAGGCUGGCGUUUGAGAGAAUACAAAAGGGGCUGUAGAAUCUGGGGAAGCACUCUGUUCUCAGUUUAUGUGAAGUCGGUAUUGUCUGGUUAAUUCAGAGAGAUGGUUAGGCGUUGGAUUGUUGUAAAUAUAGAGUGUAUGAAGGCUGCUCAUAAUGUGCUCUAUAGAAUGCUUCAAAAAGUCCUUAUUUGCAUGUUCAGUUUUCUCUGGUAGGUUAUGUGAAUUCUACGAAGUCCUCCCUGGUAAAGAAUGCAUAUCUUCAUUUCAUGAGCAAAA